CACUGUUGGUAAGGGGCAGAAUUAAGACUAAAUCCAGGCUCAUGUGACCCCUCCCUCCAACCUUGAUUCUGGGGCACAUAUCUUUAUCAGGUGAGCCUGUGUGAGCCAACUCAGCAAAUCCCUCUCUGCUCUACCUACACUUUGCGGAGUCCCUAAAGACAGGAAUAAGGUGACCUCAAGGAGAGCUGGAGUUCCAGCCAUUUGGAGAGAGGAAAAGGAAGGCCCACUCUUCAGCCCCCUUUUCCAAAGUUCCAGAAAGCAGUUCUCAGAGAAAAGGCAACCAACUAGGAGUAGUCAGAGACAUGGUCUGGUACCAACUAGCCAGGCUAUCUUAGAGAAAUCGUGAACCUCAGUUUCUCUAUCUGUGAAGCAGAUGAGGUAUGGAAUUUGAUCAGGUGACACCAAGACGGGCAUUUCCACAGGGGAAUGGGUGGAUAUGAUAGGAACAAUGAUGGGGAUGCAAAUAAAGGACUAACAUCUAGGACUGAAUCUGGACACUUGUAGCUGAAUUGAGGAGCCUGAGCACAUUAAUGUUGAAAAUGGAAUCUGGUCACCUGCAGAAGCUCGAGACUGGUUCACUCUCAGUGGGCCCAAGGGUCAGGAAGAGUUUCUCUGAAGAGAGCACAGGAAUGAAAACAGAGGCUAAGAAGGCGUUCACGGGGCUUCGGGCUGGAGGAAGGAUGUGAGUUAGGGCUGCAUGUAUACUGACUGCAGCCCAAGGCUCAGCCCCGUCUCCUGGCAGCCCCGCCCCUGAAGGCCCUGCAGAGUUAGCAAAGCUGCAGGCAAGGGCAGUCCAACCGAGGUUCCCGAGCCCGAGACCUUGCAUAGUGACCCACUGCGUCCCAACCCGGCCGGGCGCGCACGUAUCUUUGGGCCAUCAGCGGCGGUGCAACUUCCCUAGAAGACAACUUUAGUCCAACCUGCGGGCUCGGUGCAGGGGAGCGCUGAGCCCCUCAGGGAACUCGCGCUCAGGUGGAGGAUCCCUGCCCUAUUGCAGCGGCUCAAAGGAGGACUUGGGGGCAGCCGGCGAUAGUGCCUGGGAUGUCGGACAAUUUGGGUCCCCCAAGAAGAGGACGAGGACAUCCCGGGAGCCUCGGAAGAGGAGG
rnacentral:lncRNA from 1 species